rnacentral:rRNA from 1 species
UCAAAAACAUGUCUUUUUGGUAAUAAUUUAAAGUCUAAUCUGCCCACUGAUAUAAUUAUUAAAGGGCUGCAGUAUAUUGACUGUACAAAGGUAGCAUAAUCAUUAGUCUUUUAAUUGAAGACUUGUAUGAAAGAUUUGAUGAGAUAUAAACUGUCUCUAUUUUAAAAAUAAAAUUUAAUUUUUUAGUUAAAAAGCUAAAAUAUUGUUAAAAGACGAGAAGACCCUAUAAAGUUUUAUAAUUUAUUUAUUUGAUAUUAAAUAUAUAAUUAAAUAUAAUAAUUAAUUAAAUUAUUUUAUUGGGGUGAUAGAAAAAUUUAAUAAACUUUUUUUAAAAUAUAAACAUAUAUAAGUGAAAAAAUGAUCCAUUAUUAAUGAUUAAAAGAAAAAAUUACUUUAGGGAUAACAGCGUAAUAUUUUUUUUUAGUACAAAUAAAAAGAAAAGUUUGCGACCUCGAUGUUGGAUUAAGAUAAAAUUUAGAUGCAAAAGUUUAAAAUUUUGAUCUGUUCGAUCAUUAAAAUCUUACAUGAUCUGAGCU